CAUUUCCGUAUCAUUCAACAACCGUAAUUGUUUGCAAAAUUUUGUUGCAAUUUUGCGUCGCAUAAAAUCAGCUUCAAUUUCUUGUUUUGUUCGUGGAAUUCGGAAACGAACACAGCAACAUAAUAAUACCACUAAAAAUAACGAAAAAAAUACAGUCAAAAUGAAAAAAAUAAUGUGCCACACUCGAUAUCCAUUGUACAAUUGAAAUUCCAACCAUUCAUCAUCUACACUUAAUAUGUCCAAAGGAUCUGGUGUGGUAGUUGUUGUAAAAACAGGACUUGUUGGAAAUGGCUUUAAUUAAAAUUAUGUAACAAUGCAUGUUAUUAUAUUUGUAUAAUUAUUAUCUAUAUUUGAUUACUGUAUAUAUUGAUAUUUAUAUAUAUAUAAAUACAUAAAUAAUAAUUUAUGAUUAGUCUUAGGACUUGAAAUAGAAAAGUGAAGUAUAAAAGUUCAUUCAUAGUAUAAUCAUGAUGUUAAUAUUUAUAUAACUGUAAAUAAAAGUGUGCUCCAUAUUAGAUAUAAACGAUAAAUAAAUAA